rnacentral:rRNA from 1 species
AGUCAUUGUAACAAUACAUGGCAGACGGCUCAUUAACGCGUAGUCAACCUACCCUAUGGACGGGGAUAACCUCGGGAAACUGAGAAUAAUACCAGAUAGAACAUUAUACCUGGAAUGGUUUAUGUUUCAAAUAAUUUAUUGCCGUAAGAUGGGACUGCGGCCUAUCAGUUUGUUGGUGAGGUAAUGGCCCACCAAGACUAUUACAGGUACGGGCUCUGAGAGGAGUAGCCCGGAGAUGGGUACUGAGACACGGACCCAGGCCCUAUGGGGCGCAGCAGGCGAGAAAACUUUGCAAUGUGCGAAAGCACGACAAGGUUAAUCCGAGUGGUUUCUGCUAAAGGAACCUUUUGUCAGUCCUAGAAACACUAACGAAUAAGGGGUGGGCAAGUUCUGGUGUCAGCCGCCGCGGUAAAACCAGCACCUCAAGUGGUCAGGAUGAUUAUUGGGCCUAAAGCAUCCGUAGCCUGGUUUGGAAGUUUUCGGUUAAAUCCAUACGCUCAACGUAUGGGCUGCCGGGAAUACUGCAAAGCUAGGGAGUGGGAGAGGUAGACGGUACUCGGUAGGAAGGGGUAAAAUCCUUUGAUCUAUUGAUGACCACGU